AGCUGGUCUGAUGGUAGUGGGUUAUCAGAAGUUACUCACACUAGUGUCACUAAAGUUAGUAUACAGCUCCCCUACUGCUAAGUUGGACUGGUUUAAA
ensembl:Y_RNA Y_RNA Y RNA